rnacentral:rRNA from 1 species
GGGGUGACUGCGUACCUUUUGUAUAAUGGGUCAGCGACUUACAUUCAGUGGCAAGCUUAACCGAAUAGGGAAGGCGUAGCGAAAGCGAGUCCGAACAGGGCGAUUUUAGUCGCUGGGUGUAGACCCGAAACCAGAUGAUCUAUCCAUGGCCAGGUUGAAGGCACGGUAACACGUGCUGGAGGACCGAACCCACUAAUGUUGAAAAAUUAGGGGAUGAGCUGUGGAUAGGGGUGAAAGGCUAAACAAAUCUGGAAAUAGCUGGUUCUCUCCGAAAACUAUUUAGGUAGUGCCUCGCGUAUUGCUGCCGGGGGUAGAGCACUGUUAUGGCUAGGGGGUCACAGCGACUUACCAACCCAUGGCAAACUCCGAAUACCGGCAAGUAUGAGCGCGGGAGACAGAGCACCGGGUGCUAACGUCCGGACUCAAGAGGGAAACAACCCAGACCGCCAGCUAAGGUCCCCAAAAUUGGCUAAGUGGGAAACGAAGUGGGAAGGCAUAGACAGUCAGGAGGUUGGCUUAGAAGCAGCCACCCUUUAAAGAAAGCGUAAUAGCUCACUGAUCGAGUCGUCCUGCGCGGAAGAUGUACCGGGGCUAAGCCAGUUACCGAAGCUGCGGGUGUGCG